rnacentral:rRNA from 1 species
GAUGAACGCUGGCGGCGUGCCUAAUACAUGCAAGUCGAACGGAAGUAGUAAUACUUUAGUGGCGACCGGGUGCGUAACACGUAGCUGACCUGCCCCUCAGCGGGGGACGAACGCCGGGAACGUAGCGCUAAUACCGCAUAGCUUCGAGCUCAUUAGAAAAGACUUGAAUAAACUUACGGGGCGUGAGGGAGGGGGCGUGCGGCCCAUCAGGUAGUUGGUGAGGUAGAAGCUCACCAAGCCGACGACGGGUAGGGGGCCUGGAGAGGGUGGUCCCCCACACCUGGGACUGACAACGGCCCAGACUCUACGGGAGGCAGCAGGUAAGGGAUAUUGCGCAAUGGGCGAAAGCCUGACGCAAGCAACGCCGCGUGGAGGAAGAAGGCCUUGGUCGUAAC